rnacentral:rRNA from 1 species
GACGUAGGGCGCGAGCGUUGUCCGGAUUAUUGGGCGUAAAGCGCACGUAGGCGGUUUGUUAAGUCGGAUGUGAAAUCCCUCGGCUCAACUGAGGAAGUGCACCCGAAACUGGCAGGCUUGAGUACUAAAGAGGGUCGCGGAAUUCCCGGUGUAGAGGUGAAAUUCGUAGAUAUCGGGAGGAACACCGGUGGCGAAGGCGGCGACCUGGGUAGAUACUGACGCUGAGGUGCGAAAGCGGUGGGAGCAAACAGG